GAGUUUGAUCCUGGCUCAGGAUGAACGCUAGCGGUAUGCUUAACACAUGCAAGUCGUACGGAGAAGUUAUUCUUAGUGGCGGACGGGUGAGUAACACGUAAGAAUCUACCUUUAGGAAGGGGAUAACAAUUAGAGAUAAUUGCUAAUACCCUAUAUGCCGUUUGGUGAAAGAAGUAAUUCGCCUAAAGAGGAGCUUGCGUCUGAUUAGCUAGUUGGUAGGGUAAAGGCCUACCAAGGCGACGAUCAGUAGUUGGUCUGAGAGGAUGGCCAGCCACAUUGGAACUGAGACACGGUCCAGACUCCUACGGGAGGCAGCAGUGAGGAAUUUUCUGCAAUGGGCGCAAGCCUGACAGAGCAAUACCGCGUGAGGGAUGACGGCCUAUGGGUUGUAAACCUCUUUUCUCAAGGAGGAAGAUCUGACGUUACUUGAGGAAUAAGCAUCGGCUAACCCUGUGCCAGCAGCCGCGGUAAUACAGGGGAUGCAAGUGUUAUCCGGAAUUAUUGGGCGUAAAGCGUCUGCAGGUGGAUAAUUAAGUCUUAUGUCAAAUUUCUAGGCUCAACCUGGAGUCGGCAAAAGAAACUACUUAUCUCGAGUAUGGUAGAGGUAAAGGGAAUUUCAAGUGGAGCGGUGAAAUGCGUAGAUAUUUGAAAGAACUCCAAUAGCGAAGGCACUUUACUGGGCCAUUACUGACACUCAGAGACGAAAGCUAGGGGAGCAAACAGGAUUAGAUACCCUGGUAGUCCUAGCUGUAAACGAUGGAUACUAGAUGUUGCAUAUUAUAUAUACGCAGUGUCGUAGCUAACGCGUUAAGUAUCCCGCCUGGGAAGUACGCUCGCAAGGGUGAAACUCAAAGGAAUUGAC
rnacentral:rRNA from 1 species